rnacentral:tRNA from 1 species
CAGGAGAUAGUUUAAUAAAAAUAUUAAUUUUGGAGAUUAAUGAUAAAGAAAUUUCUUUUCUCUUGA